rnacentral:rRNA from 1 species
UACGGGGGGGGGCAAGCGUUGUUCGGAAUUACUGGGCGUAAAGGGCUCGUAGGCGGCCAACUAAGUCAGACGUGAAAUCCCUCGGCUUAACCGGGGACUGCGUCUGAUACUGGAUGGCUUGAGUUUGGGAGAGGGAUGCGGAAUUCCAGGUGAGCGGUGAAAUGCGUAGAUAUCGGAGGAACACCGGUGGGCGAAAGCGGCU